UUAAAUUGAAGAGUUUGAUCAUGGCUCAGAUUGAACGCUGGCGGCAGGCCUAACACAUGCAAGUCGAACGGUAACAGGAAGCAGCUUGCUGUUUUGCUGACGAGUGGCGGACGGGUGAGUAAUGUCUGGGAAACUGCCUGAUGGAGGGGGAUAACUACUGGAAACGGUAGCUAAUACCGCAUAACGUCGCAAGACCAAAGAGGGGGACCUUAGGGCCUCUUGCCAUCGGAUGUGCCCAGA
rnacentral:rRNA from 1 species